CUGUGCCAAUUUGCGGAAUUAUGUUCUGAAAGCUGAGGAUAGACGGUGAUUUUGGCUUUAUUUUGAGCUGUUGAUCGGAUGAGUGGAUCAAGAUGGAUAAGCACAUUUGUGGAACCUGCGGGUCACAAUACUCUACCAUAGAAGAUUUCAUACAGCACAAACAGUCUGAAUGUAAGUUGGUCUCAAAGACGCCUCAAGUUGUCCAAACUAUUGCGAUGAAGUUGUCUACGCCAGCCCGGUCCAAAGUCAACUCGACUCGAGGCCGACAACAUCACAAUGUUGUUUCCACAGCCACUGUGGAGACAAGCUCAGAGACACUGAAAGGAUCAUCAGGUAAAGAACCUGAGAAACAGAAAAAGAAGAGGGUGAGGAAAAAGAAUGCUGAACCAGCUGCCCUAGAAACACAAAGAAAGGCUGCAGGAGAAAAGAGAAAACCUAAUAAAUAUCUCAAGCAGUUUAAAUGUGAUUUUGAAUCCUGUACGUUUGCGACAGCUCAUCGGAAUGAUUUUCGCCGUCAUCAAAGGAUCCACACGGGGGAGAAGCCCUUCAAAUGUCAGUUUUGUGAGAAACAGUUCUCUAGAUGCGAUAAGAUGAAACUUCAUGAGAGGGUCCAUACAAAGGAGAAGCCCUUCGCGUGUGAAUUGUGUUCCUACAAGUGUGCUGACGGGGGAAGCUUGAAGAAACACAUGCGUAUUCAUUCGGACGAUAGGCCCUACCAGUGUCAGCUCUGUUCCUAUGCCAGUCGCAACUCUAGCCAGUUGGUUGUCCACCUCCGCACCCACACUGGUGACUCACCAUUCCACUGCCAGCAAUGCGAUGCUAAGUUCAAAACCAACACCGAUCUGAAAAGGCAUAUCCUUAUCCACACAGGAAGCAAACCCUUUGCCUGUGAUCAAUGCAGCUAUAAAUCUCGUCUCAAGUGCAAUCUAAAAUCACAUAUUGAGACUAACCAUAGAGGGAAGGCAAAGUACCAGUGCUGCCAGUGUCCAUUCAAGUGCAGAACUCAGAAACAACUGAGUGAUCAUUCAUUUAAAGAACAUAGGAAUUCUGUAGUUAGUGCUAGCAGCACAUCUUCCUCCACCAAGACAUGCAGAGAAAAUUACAAGAAAGUUUUCUCAUGCGAGUAUUGCACAUACUCGUCAAAGUACAAAAGUGCUUGGUUGAAACAUACCAAGAAAAAACAUUCUGAGCAAUUGAAACUCUUGGAUUCUACACAAGUAAAGACACCAACGUCUGUCACGAUGAAAAAAAUUCUUGUGAAGAAUGAGAACAGAUCGAAAGGAACAAAAGGCUCGAAACCAGUCAUUCCUGUGUUAGAUGGGAAUAGACCAUGGUCAUGCAAUAUUUGCGGUGCAUCAUUUAUAAGAGAAGAUUCUUUCAGGAGCCAUAGAAGACAGCAUGAAAAACUGCAGGAGAACCAAAAUAGUGCAACUCACGAAUCAAUAGAGAACACUUCAAAGACAUCUGAUCUAGAAUCUGAAAAGAGAUGCACAGCUGAUAUAAAUCAUGGCACAUUUGUGGUUACAGUAGGAACAUGUACAAACCAACCCGUUUCAGCAGAUGUUGAAAGGAGUGAUCCUGUUAGAAUGGAAGAUAUGUCUUCAAGAAAUAAUAUGUCACAGUCUAAUAACCAGGGUAUCAAGAGGUAUCCGAGUAGGAAUGGAGCAGGUACAUGUACUUCUUCUGAUUCGUCCAUGGUUACCUUGACAAUACCUGACCCAAUGUCCAUGGGUGCAGAGGUCUGUAUCUCAGGAGAUACUUCAUUGAUUGACUCAGCUAUUCCCCAUGGCAACCCUCCAAAUAAUACAAUAAACAUCCUGCCAGAGUCCAGUGAGUCUCAAGAGAAAUCCUGUCAAGGAGAGCUUAUGGCCAUGAUGCCAGUCAGCGUCGACAGGACACCCUCUGAACUUGGCAGCAACGUACUGCAGACAGAAGUUAUUAUAGCACAGGAAUGUGACACUUAUGUUCAUGAUAUUGUUGAAGGCGGACAGUUACAGAAGAAAGAUGCCAUCCAAUUUCAGCCCCUUGGCUAUGGAACAUCAAAUACUCCCAUCCUUUUGUCUACGGUGCCUCCUACUAUUGUCCAAAGUCCCAGUUCUUCUUGCCCAUCUGUUAUCAAUGCCAUGAAGACUUCUCAGACCAAGAUCAAUGCUUUUGAAAAUGUUAAUGUGUCUUUCACCUCCCCAUCCACUGCUGCUUAUGUAAACCUCUCUAAUAUUGGUCUUGGACAAGUAAAAACCGUGCCAUUCAUUAGUACAAAUCAGUUGCAAUCAGUUCAUCCCCCUGUAUCAAGAGGUGCUGUUCAACAAGUUCAGAUCAAAGACAGCCAACAUCAGGUACUGGACCAGAAUUAUAUUGGAACUCUGAACACUACUACAAAUAACAGUGCUUUGACUACCAGCUCAACCGCAACCUACCUCAACAUGUCCUUAUCAAGUUCAGUCACAGGUAGUCAGCCUACAGAUCAAACUCCCCUACCAAAAACUUUUCUUCCCACAAGAACAUUUAUUUUGAAUGGAAGGGAGCUUAGCCAGGCUGGUCCAGCUAUUAAAGGCAAUGACUUCUAAAGUGAUCAACCUGCCCAGUAUGCACCACUAGUUGGACUACAUCUGGGAUUCUUAAGGACAAGAGUGACAAGAAUGCAAGGUAGACCCGAUCAAUCGCAGGGAGGGGGCGAGCACGUGCACCAUUUAUCAAGUUAUACUCGGGCGAUAAUCAAAUUUUGAGCCUACCCACCCAAGGACAAGAAAAAAGAAGCUGAGACAUCACAGAUCGUCCUGGAUGUUCUUCGUUUUUGGCAGUCAUCAUCCCUCUUUGAUUUUGCCUUCUGCGAUACCGGAUUGGGGCUUGAAUUGAGGUCCUACCAGUAGACACCAAACCACUUUCACCUUGCCUUCUCCGAUACCGGUUGGGGGCCUGACCUGAGGUCCUACCAGUAGACACCAAACCACUGUGCAAUCCUUGGAUGAUCUGCAAUAAGUACUAUAGAAUUCCUGUCAGCAACAAGAGCUGUCCUCUAUCCGAGGUCUGAUCAAGUCGUUGGGCCCUGUUACACAAAGAGAUGGGAUCGAUUGUAUAAUCAGGGAAGUGUAACAGAUUUCGAGGGCUCAGUGAAGCAUAUCCGUAAGUCGAUUGCAAACCAUGUACAGAUGGUUACAAUCAGUUGUAAAUAGAUUGUAUCUCUUCGUCACAGGAGGAAUAUAACCAUGGACUCCCACCUCUGAGUUGCUAGGGUUUUUUUUCAAUUCAAUUCUUUAUUUCAUUUCCAUUCAAAACAUAAUACAAAGUAAUAUAAAGUAAUACAAAUCAAAUACAAUUUCAGGUUCAAGCCGUACUCUCAAUUCUUGCUGAACUACAGUGUACCAAAUUUUUAUGAUCAUUUAGUACCAUUAGUUAUCAUUUAAAUGAAGAUUACAUAGACCUGCCAA